rnacentral:rRNA from 1 species
UUCUUGGUUCUUUUAGGGAAGUAAAAUUUGUACAAAGGUUUCCGUGGGGGAACCUGGGGAAGGGUCCUUUUUGAAAUUGAAAACUUUGGGAAAAGGGGGGGGGGAUGCGGGGCUGUCGCUGGCCUCUUUGGCAUGUGCAUUUCUUGGUCACUUAGAGGAAGUAAAAGUCGUAACAAGGUUUCCGUUGGUGAACCAGCGGAGGGAUCAUUACAGAGUUGCAGAACUCCCAAACCCUUGUGAAUAUACCCGUUACCGUUGCUUCGGCGGGCGGCCCCAGGGCGGGGCCGUUGCCUCCCCGUUGCGGAGGUGCUCGCCAGAAGCCCAACCACAACACUCUUGUCUUACCACGGCAUCUCUGAGUAAAACAUUUAAUAAGUCAAAACUUUCAACAACGGAUCUCUUGGUUCUGGCAUCGAUGAAGAACGCAGCGAAAUGCGAUAAGUAAUGUGAAUUGCAGAAUUCAGUGAAUCAUCGAAUCUUUGAACGCACAUUGCGCCCGCCAGUAUUCUGGCGGGCAUGCCUGUUCGAGCGUCAUUUCAACCCUCAAGCCCUGCUUGGUGUUGGGGCCCUACGGGCUCCGUAGGCCCCGAAAACUAGUGGCGGGCUCGCUAUAACUCCGAGCGUAGUACAAGUAUCUCGCUAGGGAAGUGUGGCGGGCUCUCGCCGUAAAACCCCCAUCUCACAAAAGGUUGACCUCGGAUCAGGUAGGAAUACCCGCUGAACUUAAGCAUAUCAAUAAGCGGAGG